UCCCCCUUUUCAGUCAAAAUUGACCAAAGGUGAUCAAUUAGACAAAAUAAAUGUCUAUUAGCCUAGCAGAGAAUGUUAGAUCAGAUGUUAUAACAUUAAGCAUGUUAAAACUUUUAUAAGUCCUUCAUGUGUGGUAGUAAUAUGUGUUGACUAUGCUGAGAUAAUGAACAAAUUCAAGGAACUCAUUAAGAGCCCUAAAUAUUACAUAACAGGCAUCAAUAAGGACUGCCAAAAAAUACAAAAAAAACAAUAAAGACAACAGCCUUCCAGACAGCAACCCAGCUUCCACCAAACUUUCCAGCACACCUCCCAGUCUUCAAUUCAGGAAGGAACCAUUAAUCAGAAGAAGAAGUAUCACCUUCACCUUC
rnacentral:lncRNA from 1 species